UUCCAGCUGAUAAGUGCAAACAUGGCUCUCUCUGGGUUGCUCAAGUUCGUCUUGGCUUCCACAUGGCUGGGAUCCAGUAUUGCGCAGAAGGUAACUCAAGCCCCGCCACCAGUGUCAGUGCAGGAGAUGGAGGCUGUGACCCUGUCCUGCACCUAUGAUACCAGUGAACCAAGUUACACUCUCUUCUGGUACAAGCAGCCCUGCAGUGGGGAGAUGGUCUUCCUCAUUCGCCAAACCUCUUAUGACCAACAGAAUGCAACAGAAGGGCGUUACUCGGUGAAUUUCCAGAAAGCAAGCAAAUCCAUCCACCUUGUCAUCUCAGCUUCACAGCUGGAGGACUCAGCGGUGUAUUUCUGUACGCUGAAUGUGACCAGCGAGCCUGCAGUGGAGCAGAGUCCUCGAUCUCGGACUGUACUUCGGGGAGAGAACUGCAGUCUUCACUGCGCUUACACCGUGAACCCCCACAACAACGUGAGGUGGUACAGACAGGACCCGGGGAGAAGCCCUGUGCCCGUGAUAAUCAUCGCUUCCACCAAGAGCGAGAGAUCGGAGGGCAGGUACACGGUGACCCUGGAUGCAGCUGCCAGGCACAGCGCCCUGCGCAUCACGGCCGCCCAGCUGAGCUACUCUGCCUCCUACAUCUGUGUG